rnacentral:rRNA from 1 species
UACGUAGGGCGCGAGCGUUAUCCGGAAUUAUUGGGCGUAAGGAGCUCGUAGGCGGUUUGUCACGUCUGCUGUGAAGACUGGAGGCUCAACCUCCAGCCUGCAGUGGGUACGGGCAGACUAGAGUGCGGUAGGGGAGAUUGGAAUUCCUGGUGUAGCGGUGGAAUGCGCAGAUAUCAGGAGGAACACCGAUGGCGAAGGCAGAUCUCUGGGCCGUAACUGACGCUGAGGAGCGAAAGCAUGGGGAGCGAACAGG